CCUACGGGAGGCAGCAGUGGGGGAUAUUGGACAAUGGGGGGAACCCUGAUCCAGCGACGCCGCGUGAGUGAAGAAGUAUCUCGGUAUGUAAAGCUCUAUCAGCAGGGAAGAAGAAAUGACGGUACCUGAGUAAGAAGCCCCGGCUAACUACGUGCCAGCAGCCGCGGUAAUACGUAGGGGGCAAGCGUUAUCCGGAAUUACUGGGUGUAAAGGGAGCGUAGACGGUGAUGUAAGUCUGGAGUGAAAGCCCGCGGCCCAACCGCGGGACUGCAUUGGGAACUACCGGGCUGGAGUGCCGGAGAGGUAGGCGGAAUUCCUAGUGUAGCGGUGAAAUGCGUAGAUAUUAGGAGGAACACCAGUGGCGAAGGCGGCCUACUGGACGGUGACUGACGCUGAGGCUCGAAAGCGUGGGGAGCAAACAGGAUUAGAUACCCGGGUAGUC
rnacentral:rRNA from 1 species